rnacentral:rRNA from 1 species
GCUUGUCUCAAAGAUUAAGCCAUGCAUGUCUAAGUAUAAACAUCUUUAUACAGUGAAACUGCGUACAGCUCAUUAUAUCAGUUAUUAUUUAUUUGAUGGUACCUUACUACAUGGAUACCCGUAGUAAUUCUAGAGCUAAUACAUGCAUCAAACCCCGACUCCUGGAAGGGGUGUAUUUAUUAGAUGGAAACCAAUGCGGGGCAACCCGGAUUCUGGUGAUUCAUAAUAACUUUCGGAUCGAUCCUCGGAUCGAUGCAUCAUUCAAGUUUCUGCCCUAUCAGCUUUGGAUGGUAGGGUAUUGGCCUACCAUGGCUUUAACGGGUAACGGAGAAUUAGGGUUCGAUUCCGGAGAGGGAGCCUGAGAAAUGGCUACCACAUCCAAGGAAGGCAGCAGG